GAUGAACGCUGGCGGCGUGCCUAAUACAUGCAAGUCGAGCGAACAGACGAGGAGCUUGCUCCUCUGACGUUAGCGGCGGACGGGUGAGUAACACGUGGAUAACCUACCUAUAAGACUGGGAUAACUUCGGGAAACCGGAGCUAAUACCGGAUAAUAUAUUGAACCGCAUGGUUCAAUAGUGAAAGACGGUUUUGCUGUCACUUAUAGCUGGAUCCGCGCCGCAUUAGCUAGUUGGUAAGGUAACGGCUUACCAAGGCAACGAUGCGUAGCCGACCUGAGAGGGUGAUCGGCGACACUGGAGGUGAGACACGGUCCAGACUCCUACGGGAGGCAGCAGUAGGGAAUCUUCCGCAAUGGGGGAAAGCUUGACGGAGCAACGCGGCGUGAGUGAUGAAGGUGUUCGGAUCGUAAAACUCUGUUAUUAGGGAAGAACAAAUGUGUAAGUAACUAUGCACGUCUUGACGGUACCUAAUCAGAAAGCCACGGCUAACUACGUG
rnacentral:rRNA from 1 species